UGCUCUUUGUUGAAAAGCGCUAUACAAAUAAAAUUGAAUUGAAUGCGCAUGUAAAGGCAGACGUCCCAAAACUUUUGGCUAUUAAGUGUAUAUUACCUUUUGCACUUGUAAGUAAAUUACAGUGUUUUCUGUAAGUCAACCUUUAGUGACAUAAUCACAUUGGACGAAGGCGUAUUUGGAAGGACAACUGCUGGGUGCUGGAGGAUUGGCUGUGUUUUUGCUGGGACACGCAAAGAAGACGGAUUGCCAGUUGCAAUCAAGUACGUCUCCAAAAAGAUGCCUUAUGAAAAACUGCAGCUUACAGGAUAUGGAUGGCUGCCCAUUGAGAUAGCUUUGACGAUCCUUGCAAACACAGAACCUUGCUCAAAAAUCCUGAAGAUUCUGGACUUGUACGAAGAGGCAAAAUGAUACGUUUUCGUCCAGGAACAGCCUGAACCAUGUGUGGACCUCGAGGAAUUCUCCGGCCAGCAAGGUGGAUAUUUGACUGAGGUCGUGGCUCGCCAUGUUAUGUUUCAGCUGAUGGAGGCUCUGAAGCAUUGUAAGAGCCAGGGGAUACUGCAUCAUGAUGUCAAGCCAGAAAACAUUCUGAUUCAGACAGGCACGUGGCAAGUCAAGCUGUUUGACUUGAAAGAGACCUCGUCAAAUACGAGGAGCAUUAUGCAGAGCAUUAUGUGGAAGUAACCUCCAAAUGACCUUGCCUUGUUCUACAUUGAAUCACACAUGACUAAAUGCACUAAUACUUUGAAUUUUGAAUAUAAUGUUUCAUUUCUAAUAUUGUAAGACUGUUAUGAUCUAGCUGUGCUAAUGUAUAAUUGAGAGCAUGAGCUUCAGGCAGAAUUACAGUUGAACAUGCAAAAUUAAUCUGCUUUUGUUAAAUUUGUUUCUCAGCAAGGACUUGUCAUAAUCACUUUUUCAGAACUGACAUUGAAAAGGGAAAUUAUAGUUUUUGGAUUUAGGGUUUCUAGCGUUUAUAAUCAAUGAGAAAGAGAUUAGAAAUAGAAAUGAGAUUGUAUUGUGAAUUUAUUUUUGAAUAACCACAGACCCGAGGAACUACUGUACAAUGUCUGUUUAAACAUUGCCUCUCAGUCCUAUGUAGACAUUAUGGCAAUAAUGUUAAGCUCCAACUCUUCUGCAUUCAUGCAUCUCCUGAACAUCUCCCGAUCAGCUACCGGUGUAUUCGCUCGGCCGAGGUGGAGGGUCAGCGCGCACACAGGAGCAGCAGUGGAGUGAAGUUCUGUGUUGUGUCCGAUCUUCAGUCAAGAGGAGCUGAACAUGCCUUAGAGAUCUUGUACUUCUUGGAUUCUAUCACAAGUCAAAGUCUGCUGUUGCGUGGACCAUCUGUCUGGCAUUAAACUGACACCAAAACCAGCACAUGUUUAUAAUUAUACGAGUUGCCUGUUUUCUGGCUUGAUCUGAAAUUUUUACAUCACUUAAGUGUGUGGUGGUGUAUUCAUCAAGUGCAAAUGACAAAGAAAUUUCAAGAAAAUUUUCAUGAUGUACCUAGUAGUGUUCUUUUUUCAUUUUCCACUGUUUCCUUCACCUGUCUGUCUUGUCAUUGAGAACUUUGAAAGGGCUCAAAGUUGAAUGUAAUCCACAUUACAUUAAUGUGAAUAUAAACCACAUUACAUCAAAGUUGAAUCCACAUUCAUACU